rnacentral:rRNA from 1 species
UACCAGACUCCUACGGGAGGCAGCAGUGGGGAAUAUUGCACAAUGGGGGAAACCCUGAUGCAGCGACGCCGCGUGAGCGAUGAAGUAUUUCGGUAUGUAAAGCUCUAUCGGCAGGGAAGAAGAUGACGGUACCUGACUAAGAAGCCCCGGCUAACUACGUGCCAGCAGCCGCGGUAAUACGUAGGGGGCAAGCGUUAUCCGGAUUUACUGGGUGUAAAGGGAGCGUAGACGGCGGCGCAAGCCAGAUGUGAAAGCCCGGGGCUCAACUCCGGGACUGCAUUUGGAACUGUGUGGCUGGAGUGUCGGAGAGGCAGGCGGAAUUCCUAGUGUAGCGGUGAAAUGCGUAGAUAUUAGGAGGAACACCAGUGGCGAAGGCGGCCUGCUGGACGAUGACUGACGUUGAGGCUCGAAAGCGUGGGGAGCAAACAGGAUUAGAUACCCGAGUAGC